AGCUUUGCGCAGUGGCAGCAUCAUAGCCAAUGAGGUUUAUUCAAGGCGCGAUUAUUGCUAAUUGAAAACUUUUCCCAAUACCCCGCCAUGACUUGCAAUAUAAUCGGCAUUGGCAAUUUUUGACAGUCUCUACAGAGA
rnacentral:snRNA from 1 species